rnacentral:lncRNA from 1 species
GGCCAAGUGAGCUUUUCCCAUCACUUGGCGUCCGUCGUCCGUCGUCGUCGUCGUCGUCCGUCGUCGUUAACUUUUACAAAAAUCUUCUCCUCUGAAACUACUGGCCCAAAUUAAACCAAACUUGGCCACAAUCAUCAUUGGGGUAUCUAGUUUAAAAAAUGUGUGGCGUGACCCGGCCAACCAACCAAGAUGGCCGCCAUGGCUAAAAAUAGAACAUAGGGGUAAAAUGCAGUUUUUGGCUUAUAACUCAAAAACCAAAGCAUUUAGAGCAAAUCUGACAUGGGGUAAAAUUGUUUAUCAGGUCAAGAUCUAUCUGCCCUCAAAUUUUCAGAUGAAUCCGACAACCCGUUAUUGGGUUGCUGCCCCUGAACUGGUAAUUUUAGGGAAUUUCUGCUGUUUUUGGCUAUUAUCUUGAAUAUUA